rnacentral:rRNA from 1 species
UACAGAGGGUGCGAGCGUUAAUCGGAAUUACUGGGCGUAAAGCGCGCGUAGGCGGCUUUGCAAGUCGGGUGUGAAAUCCCCAGGCUUAACCUGGGAACUGCAUUCGAGACUGCAUUGCUAGAGUAUGGGAGAGGGAAGUGGAAUUCCGGUGUAGCGGUGAAAUGCGUAGAUAUCGGAAGGAACAUCAGUGGCGAAAGCGACUCCUGGACCAAUACUGACGCUCAUGUGCGAAAGCGUGGGGGAGCAA